rnacentral:rRNA from 1 species
CAAUAAAUACUGAUACAGGGCUCUUUUGGGUCUUGUAAUUGGAAUGAGUACAAUUUAAAUCCCUUAACGAGGAACAAUUGGAGGGCAAGUCUGGUGCCAGCAGCCGCGGUAAUUCCAGCUCCAAUAGCGUAUAUUAAAGUUGUUGCAGUUAAAAAGCUCGUAGUUGAACCUUGGGCCUGGUUGGCCGGUCCGCCUCACCGCGUGCACUGGUCCGACCGGGUCUUUCCUUCUGAGGAGCCGCAUGCCCUUCACUGGGUGUGUCGGGGAAUCAGGACUUUUACUUUGAAAAAAUUAGAGUGUUCAAAGCAGGCCUAUGCUCGAAUACAUUAGCAUGGAAUAAUAGAAUAGGGCGUGUGGUUCUAUUUUGUUGGUUUCUAGGACCGCCGUAAUGAUUAAUAGGGACGGUUGGGGGUAUCAGUAUUCAAUUGUCAGAGGUGAAAUUCUUGGAUUUAUUGAAGACUAACUACUGCGAAAGCAUUUACCAAAGAUGUUUUCAUUAAUCAGUGAACGAAAGUUAGGGGAUCGAAGACGAUUAUCUGGUCGUCGAUAGUAAUUUAGAGUUAUCUAAUCCAAUUCUACUUGGGUUACACCAUCAAAUUGUCGGGGACCUCCUAAAGCUAGUGCUACACCCUACUAUUAGAAAUAAUAGUAGUACUGUAAAAAUGCACUGGAUAUAACAAGCUUUGCUUGUGCUAUGGACAAUCCGCAGCCAAUUCCUAACGCUAUAAAGCUAUGGAUGCAGUUAACAGACUAGACGGUGGUGGGGCUUAGAGCCUUAAGAUAUAGUCGAGCACUCGCUGAAAGGCUAGUGAUGCAACGCAGAUACCGUCGUAGUCUUAACCAUAAACUAUGCCGACUAGGGAUCGGGCGAUGUUAUCUUUUUGACUCGCUCGGCACCUUACGAGAAAUCAAAGUCUUUGGGU